rnacentral:rRNA from 1 species
UACGUAGGGUGCGAGCGUUAAUCGGAAUUACUGGGCGUAAAGCGUGCGCAGGCGGUUUUGUAAGCCAGAUGUGAAAUCCCCGGGCUCAACCUGGGAAUGGCAUUUGGGACUGCAAGGCUGGAGUACGGCAGAGGAGACUGGAAUUCCUGGUGUAGCAGUGAAAUGCGUAGAUAUCAGGAGGAAUACCGAUGGCGAAGGCAGGUCUCUGGGCAGUAACUGACGCUGAGGAGCGAAAGCGUGGGGAGCGAACAGG